rnacentral:rRNA from 1 species
GCGUUGCUUAAACAUGCAAGUCGAACGAUGAAGCCCUUCGGGGUGGAUUAGUGGCGAACGGGUGAGUAACACGUGGGCAAUCUGCCCUUCACUCUGGGACAAGCCCUGGAAACGGGGUCUAAUACCGGAUAAUACUCCUGCCUGCAUGGGCGGGGGUUGAAAGCUCCGGCGGUGAAGGAUGAGCCCGCGGCCUAUCAGCUUGUUGGUGGGGUAAUGGCCCACCAAGGCGACGACGGGUAGCCGGCCUGAGAGGGCGACCGGCCACACUGGGACUGAGACACGGCCCAGACUCCUACGGGAGGCAGCAGUGGGGAAUAUUGCACAAUGGGCGAAAGCCUGAUGCAGCGACGCCGCGUGAGGGAUGACGGCCUUCGGGUUGUAAACCUCUUUCAGCAGGGAAGAAGCGAAAGUGACGGUACCUGCAGAAGAAGCGCCGGCUAACUACGUGCCAGCAGCCGCGGUAAUACGUAGGGCGCAAGCGUUGUCCGGAAUUAUUGGGCGUAAAGAGCUCGUAGGCGGCUUGUCACGUCGGAUGUGAAAGCCCGAGGCUUAACCUCGGGUCUGCAUUCGAUACGGGCUAGCUAGAGUGUGGUAGGGGAGAUCGGAAUUCCUGGUGUAGCGGUGAAAUGCGCAGAUAUCAGGAGGAACACCGGUGGCGAAGGCGGAUCUCUGGGCCAUUACUGACGCUGAGGAGCGAAAGCGUGGGGAGCGAACAGGAUUAGAUACCCUGGUAGUCCACGCCGUAAACGUUGGGAACUAGGUGUUGGCGACAUUCCACGU